rnacentral:rRNA from 1 species
CACUCCUGCGGGAGGCAGCAGUGGGGAAUAUUGCACAAUGGGCGCAAGCCUGAUGCAGCCAUGCCGCGUGUAUGAAGAAGGCCUUCGGGUUGUAAAGUACUUUCAGCGGGGAGGAAGGCGAUAAGGUUAAUAACCUUGUCGAUUGACGUUACCCGCAGAAGAAGCACCGGCUAACUCCGUGCCAGCAGCCGCGGUAAUACGGAGGGUGCAAGCGUUAAUCGGAAUUACUGGGCGUAAAGCGCACGCAGGCGGUCUGUCAAGUCGGAUGUGAAAUCCCGGGGCUCAACCUGGGAACUGCAUUCGAAACUGGCAGGCUAGAGUCUUGUAGAGGGGGGUAGAAUUCCAGGUGUAGCGGUGAAAUGCGUAGAGAUCUGGAGGAAUACCGGUGGCGAAGGCGGCCCCCUGGACAAAGACUGACGCUCAGGUGCGAAAGCGUGGGGAGCAAACAGGAUUAGAAACCCCAGUAGUCCCAU